GGUUGCACUGUGGAGGGCGCCUCGCUGGCUCAGUCUGUGGAGCGUGCAGCUCGAUCUUCGGGUCUUGAGUUCAAGGCCCAUGUUGGGGGUAGACUUUACUUGAAAAAAAUAAAAAUAAGGUUGCACUCUUAUUUUUCAGAGGAGCAAACCGUCUGGUUAUUACAGAGGAGACCAGCCUGCAGCUUGGGAGGAUUCUAAUUUGUCCCCACGAUGUUGCUAACGGGAGCGACACAUUUCAUGUGCUAGCCACAUGGUCUGCAUAUACAAUGCGACGGCAGCAGCUUGGGACAGCAGGCUUCCCAGGAUAAUGAACAAUCUUACAUCAGGCCUUCGUUCACCUUCACUAGGCGAAAUGUGCGAAGAUCUUGCCGUAAGAGCAUUCUCGCUAAGCGUGCGGCAACACGGGACUUCAGCACGAUGGAGAGAGGGUGGUUCUUCCCAAGCGGGGCACAGUUCUGCACGAAAGCCUUCCUGGGACUAUCGAUCCACGAGCAUUCACUUGGGUCAAAUGACCAGCUCAGACUACCUGCGUCCACCAGCUUUACAACGUGAAGAAUUCAGCGCUUGGUCCUAAUGCACACAAGCGGCCACCACCAGCAUGCCAUGGCACAGUUAACUACACAAUCAUGUCUGCUCGGCUGAGGAAGUGACCUAGGACUUUCUUAGAAACAAAGGAUUUACCUCCCUCGUCACACUUUGCUGAAGGCUGAUAUUAAGAUGUGCUUGCAUUUCCUGGCUGCAUGUUUCCUUGUGAAGAAAGAUAGCCCAGAAUUCCCGGGAUAAUGUGUAACGGGGCCCGCUAGUAAAGGAAUCGCUAAGGACCUAUGGCACACGGGACAAGAGCCUGGAGAGCAAGGGCCCCUGAGUUGGACGCCUGGGAAGGACCGAAUAAGGCAACGUGUGGACGAAGUCUUACGUGAACUGGAAGCUACCAGCUACGUCAUUUCAAGAAUGCUGUGGCCAUCACACAAGGAACCCUGGACCCUACACCCUGUAAACCCAACCCUUAGAGUUUGGGGGCCCCUUUCCUUCACAGGUACGUGAAUCCCCAUUUGACCUGGCCCUCACCCAUCGUUCUUAGUCCCCCAGCAGGCUCUGUGUUUUCCAAAAUCACAUCUUUUUGUUUUUUGUUCCCCCCCCUUCUUUUCUUUUCAAACGAGUUCAAAUGGCUUCAGCCACAUCUGGGGAAUCCUUGAAGUCUCAAUUCUGAUGCUCAUUUAGGACCCAUUCUGCUACACGUUUUUCCAACACAACUGACCUCCUCUCCCAUCCCAACUCUAUGGCCUCUGGAACAGUCUGACUGCGACAGUACUGAUUAUUAAUGAUACCGUGAACGACUGAGACAAACGACUGCCGUUUGUCUUUCGAGUCCAGUCUCGGGCAUUGGUAUUUGUUUGUAACAGUCUCUGAGGGGUGCGGAGUUGGGGAGUGGGGUGCGUCUAAUGUGCUGGUAUCCACGGAUGCAGUGUCUGUCAGCUCAUGCUCACAUAACCCUGCAAGAUGGAUAUAAUCACCCCACUUGACGGGUAAGAAGACUGAGGCUUGGAAAGAUUAAGCUUCCUUCUCAAUUUUUCAGCAAAAAUCCUCCAGAGCCGGAUUUGAAACCAGGUCUAUCUUUCCUUUAUUAAUUCAUACAUUAAGCAACCUAGAUGGGGUCCGAGGCACUGGGACUCAGCCAAAAUGAGACACAAAGAUCCCUUGCCCUUAUGAGACAUAGCAGUGCCUCAGUGCGUGGGGCCCAGAGCACUGUGAGAGCGCCGUGAAGGCGUGGGAAGCAGAAUGAAGCCUCUCAUCCCCAAAGAUGUCCACAUUCUGGUCCCUGCACUGUGUGCAUGUUUCCUCACGGGGCAAAGCAAUCUUGCGGAUGUGGUUAAAGGUUUUGAGAUGGGACCUUAUCCGGGAUUGCCUAGGUGAGGCCAGUAUAAUCACAAGGACCCCUGUAAGUGAAAGAGGCUGUCAGGAGUAUCAGCCUUAGAGAGAUCUGAAGGUGCCGUGCUUAAGGUGAAAGAGUGAGGGAGGGGCUGUGACCCCAGAGAUGCAGGCUGCUUCUAGAAACCGUAAAAGGCAAGGAAACCGAUUCUCUUCUGGAGCCUCCCGAGGGAGUGCGGCCCUGCUGACGAUCUGAUUUUGUCCAGCGAGACCUUUCCAGAAUUAUGACCUCCAGAACUCGAAGGGAAUAAAUGU